rnacentral:lncRNA from 1 species
GUCCAUUUUGAGUCUGUUCUUAACAUGAUGGUCCUCAUUGUCAAGUAGACAGUCUUCUUAGAAGACUAUGGUAAUUGAAGAUAUAUAAGGUGACUGUAUAUAAGAUAUCAUCUCUCCUUUUGAUCACUGUUCCUGAUUGUGGCUUUAUCCAAGCAUUAAAUUGUGUGCCUUUUGUUCCUUGAAGAAAGAGGUAUGGUGAAGAUUGAAGUACUAUACUAUACAAUCUAUUAAGUAGUAAGUUAAU